ACACACACACACACACACACACACACACACACACACACAGAAAAAGGAGCCGGGCCCAACCCAUAGCUGCUCAUCAGAAUCCAAAGACGCAUAGCUCCCAGCAAGCUCUCAGCCCAGUACGAAGGGCAUUUGUAAGAGGGUAACAGCAACCCACAGCAUAGUCCACUGCGAUGAAUGAACCAUCCAAUAUCCUCUCUGAAGAGAAAGAAACAACAAAGCCUCCUUCCUGGCUCACGCUCGCCGGCACAGAGCCCACGUGCAUCCUGCACGGGGAACAGCAAGCUUCAAAGAGAACCCCUGGCCUCAAGUCAAGACCUAAGAAAGUGUGACCAAGUGCACAGAUUACUAAGGAGCCUGUGCGCAUCUGGCAUCCCAAGAGUGUGAGUCCCAAACGUGGCUGCACUGCAAAAUCAUGGAAAGCACCGAAAAGUCACCCACUUACAAAUCGGCAUCAGAAUCUCUGGGGAUGGUGCCGAUAUUUUUUUCCCAAAGGGUGCUCAGGCACAGCCAAGUUUGGGAACCGCUACCCUGAGUAAGCAGAAAGUGGCAACAUGUUACCUUCUGACCACAGCAUGAACAGGAAGACCUCCCAGAAGAGACAGUUGUCACCCUACCUUUGAGGAAUGGAGAGGUCUGUAGAGGGAACUUCAGCAAAGGGCCCCCAUACUGAGGAGCCCCACCAAGACCAGGGUGACCUGUGCACAGGGUACUGGUUCCCUACAAAAAGCAGGUCGGCUGGAGCAGGUCCGUGGCGAGGCGAGAGGCUGGGACAGCUGGGGAGCGCCACGUCCCAUGGACUGGAGGAGGCAUAUUCCAGUCAAACUUGUCUUUCCUCUUCAAGGUCCAACUCAAGUGCGGUUGCUGCCAGGACCCCAGGGAUAAGAGUACAACAGCCCAACUGCUUUUAGGGCCAGUGAAGUCUAGAAUAGUCCACAGUGAUUUUAAUUAGAAGUUAUUAUUCAGCAAACAGAGAAAGUAUGAAACAUUUCACUUAAGAAAUAGGCUGGAACCUAAAGCUGGCAAAUUCCCUUCUCCUAUUCACGCCACUUUUUUGGCCUUGUGAGGGGGCGGCCCCACCUGAAGGUGAGAAGGCAGAAGACACCGUGAGCUCUACUCCCCAUCGUCUGAAAGCUCCCACUGCCACCACGCCACCAAGGAAGAAUCUGAAGGCAAUCUCUACGUCUCCAGCCUCACCCCAGCCUCACACUGUUCUUAAAGAACAGGACGACAAGCAGACCCCCUCUAGUUACAUGAGCCUCGUUUGUGACACCUCCUCCAUCCAGCCUGUCUAAAAUCUCUCCCCUCCCCACAUACCCUCCCCCAUCUCCCUUGGCAGUCUCUUGUCCUAUGGGCCCUCAUUUCUUAACGUUAUAGCUCUCUGGCCAUCCGGGGGAGAAAUAAAAAUGGAGCCUUUUGUACUGUGGAGUAAAUGUACUCAUGCUUCUCAGCUACAAAAGGUUUCCAACUGCAGCAGCUUUCACGGACUGAUUGUAGCAGGCAGGCAAUUUAGUAGACAUUGUGCAAUUGGGGAAUUACUCCAGGAAUAGCUGGAAAACCAAAUGAGAUGUCCCAGGAAACAUAGCAGCUUCUGGACAAAUGCAUUCGUCCUGCACUUGCUCCUGGCGCACGUGUGCCAAGCACUGGCCAAGUCCACGGCCGGGCCCUGCCUUUCGGGAGGGCCGACUUCAGACCGACCCACACAGGGACUCGGGCAGUUGGCUGUAUGGUAAGCACCAGGUUCGGGGUGCAGACGAGAAAUACUGCAGGGGUGACUGAGGGGGAAGAUCAUCAAGUAUGAAUUUUAAGCCAAGAAAAUACUUCUAUUGCUCACAGCUCUGGAACUGCCGGACUCUCUACGGAAGCAUGACUGGCAGGAAGCGGGCCGUGAACUCGCCCCGUGCAUCUCCAUGUUCCAUACGCCACCAUGGAUCACUCAUGGGAUGAGCUUGCCUAUCUACACAUGUUUCUGGGUAACCUCAGUAUUAAUCUUUCUCUUGUCCCCUCUCAGUACAUCCUCAGGUGAAAAGGCAGUUUUUAAAGCACUAACGAAAUCAAAAAUAAAUGUGAGAGAAUCGGUGCCUCGUCCCUGAAGGCUGGGAAUCGUCCAUGACUACCUGACAGAGAUGUGGUUCCAGAGGUUUCUCCAACACAGACUGCCUCCACAUCUGCAAGUCCAGUGUGGGCACUCUGAACACAUUUCCCAUAGAGACAACAUACAAAUCAGGGUUCACUGUUGGAGCAGGCUGACAGAGCUCCGUAUUAACUCACGUGGUACCAAAAGCAUAGUGCCAUCCUAUUGUUUCCAUAUUUUUACCGAGAUAUAAUUCCCACACAGUUCACCCUUUUAAAGUGUACAACUUAGUGGCUUUUAGCACACUCCCAAAGUUGGGCAACUAUCACCUGUAUCUAAUUUUAGAACAUUUUGUCACCCCCUGAAAAAAGCCUGUACCUCCAGCAACCAUUCCUCCCUCCUCCACAGGCCCCCGCCCCCACCACUCAGCUACUUUCUGUCUCUACAGAUUUGCCUACUGUGGCAUUUCAUAUAAAUGGAAUCAUCAAAUAUGUGGCCUUUUGUGUCUGGCUUCUUCCAUUUAGCUAACGUUUCCAAGGCUCAUAUAAGUCGUGACAUGUAUCACCCAUUUUUCAGAGGCCUUUUAACAGCUCCUACUUUGUACCUCAAAUGGAAUUCCAUGUCCAAGAAUUUAAAGAAAUAAUCAGAAAUGCACCAAAGGAUCUGUGUACAAGUGCAUAUCACAAUAUUACUUACGAUAGGAAAAUACGUUCAAUGUAGGGACUGGUUAAAUUUAACACACAUAUACGCUGAAAUACUAUGCAACAUUAAUACACAAGAUUUUAGAGGAUAUUACAAAUGAAAAGGCUCACUGUUAACUAAAGAAAGAAGGUUAAAAAACCGUAUUUUAUAAAAUGUAUUUGGUGGGAAUGACACUGGCCGAAAUUAUUACCAGUUAUCUUUGGGUAAUAGGAAUAUGGAUUGUUUUAAAUUUCCUAUUUACAUUUACAUACUUGAAAAUUUUCUUCAAUAACUGGAUCAGAAAAGUGUUUUGUCUUUUUAUUUUAAAUUUUUUUUAAUGUUUAUUUUUGAGAGAGAGAGAGACAGAGCAUGAGCAGGGGAGGGGCAGAGAAGGAGGGAGACACAGAAUCCAAAGCAGGCUCCAGGCUCUGAACUAUCAGCACGGAGCCUGACACAGGGCUCAAACCCACGAACCAAGAGAUCAUGAUCUGAGUCGAAGCUGGAUGCUUAACCGACUGAGCCACCCAGGCACCCCUGAAAAGUAUUUUGCCUUUAAUCACACUCUUCUACUGGGAGAAAAAACAACUUUCAGAAUGUGAACAGAAAGGCACUCAGAGUUCAAUUAAGAGUCCCUCGUGUUUUCAUCACAUAGACAAUUUCAUUGUGUAUAUAAUUAUAUACAUACACACACACAUAAUGAAAAUGAGAAUAAGCUAAUCAGUAGGUUGUUUUUAAAAGUUGUGAAAAGCAGAAAAGAGACAAUGAAUAUAAAUGCAGAAACUCAAUUAGGUGCCAGAAAAAAUGGAACUGAUCAAUAAUCCAAGAACUGGUUCUCAUAUAAAACAACAAAAGUGAUGGAGUUUAAGAAAUCUGACAAGAAAAACAAAAGCUAAACAAAGGAAAGUAGAAAUACAAAAGGGAUAAAACCAGACACACUGAUGUUUCAAGUGCAAAUAAUAUACGCCACUGAAUUUGAAGGUGCAGGAUAAGGGGGAAAGUAAAAUACAAAAAUGGAGUCAAGCAGUAAAAAAGCUCCAAUCAUCAGAAAGCAAAAACAAACCUUUUCAUAGCCUUACCUCCCUGAAGAGUCCUUAUGACCGAGAAUUUAAAGUAAUUUCUCUCAGCUUUUCAAGAAACCAUCAAUUCUAAAGCCAUAUAAAGUGUUCCAGAACACACAAAGUUAUGGAAAGUUACUAAAUGAAUUUUAUGGGGCUAGUCCAACUCUGAGAUCAAAACAGCAAAGGCUACCUACCUCCUACUCCAGAGGAAAUGUCCAUCCAUACACAUUAGAUAGGAAAAGCCUAAACAAAACGAGGUUGUAAAAUCUAACGUGACCAAGACCAACUUAUUAUUAGGAAGUGUGUAAAUACCUAAAACCAACAUGAUCAACUAAAUGAAUGCUCCAAACACCCCAAUAAAAGUCAACACCUCUUCCUAUUAACACUCUAAAAGCCACAAAUCACAGAAUAAUCCACUUACAUAGUUUUCAAAGUAUCUCCCCAGCUAGUAAGUAGACAAUAAAAUUGAUGGUGAAAAAGUAAAAACAUUCCAAGUAAAACGAAGAAUCAAGUAAGACAGACCACCAGGGAAGUCUGACUAAUUCGAUAAGCCAUGAACCAGAACCAAGAGCAGUUAGAUAUAUCAAAACAAAAUAAAUAAAAGUUUAAAUGGAGGAAGAAAAAUCCCAUUUGCAACAGCAACAUCAAUAAUCAGCCCAUAAAUAAAUAAAACAAAACCUGAAACUAUCCGAAACGAACAUGCAAAAUGUCAGAUCCUAAAUGUAAAGAAAGUUACG